rnacentral:rRNA from 1 species
UACGUAGGGGGCAAGCGUUGUCCGGAUUUAUUGGGCGUAAAGAGCUCGUAGGCGGUUUGUCGCGUCUGCUGUGAAAACGCGAGGCUCAACCUCGCGCCUGCAGUGGGUACGGGCAGACUAGAGUGCGGUAGGGGAGAUUGGAAUUCCUGGUGUAGCGGUGGAAUGCGCAGAUAUCAGGAGGAACACCGAUGGCGAAGGCAGAUCUCUGGGCCGUUACUGACGCUGAGGAGCGAAAGCGUGGGGAGCGAACAGG